UCCAAAUAAAUGACCCACAUCAAAGCCGUUUUUCUUAAGAAAAAAACUCGCACUCAGCCAUCAGAUAUGUGCAGCUAAGUCUUGACACAAACAUGCACGGAAAAAUGGAGUCUUUGAUCAUUUAAGGGUUUAUAUUUGCAUGUGUGGAACAAUCCAGUUUUCCGAAACUGAGUAGCAAGCAAUUGGUGGCAAAUCAACACACAGCUGAAGCAAAUCAAGCUAUCGGUUCAGGUUUUUCAUGAAUUGGGGUUGCAGAAUGAGGCUGAUCAGAACGACGUGGGUCGAAGAUGAACUUCAACCUGAAGCUUCAGAUGGCGAUGGUGGUGUUCAGACUGCGUCGCAACCGCGCGGCGCUGCAGUUAGGGUGGCGGUUUUCAUGGCGACGGUGCCCCCUGUGGAUAAUCUCUUGGCACUGAAAUCCAUGCUUGCGUUGUUGGUGGUGUUGUUGUGCCCAUACGAUUGUGUCUGUGCAUGCGGUAGUUGAACGGGAAGAUUGAUAUGUUAGAGUGUGUUGCAUGUCUCUUGGUGAACUUUCAAGGCCAAGGUCAUGGCUCCAGGACGCAGAAAGAGAGUUGCUGAUGAGUUGUUCAUGAGUUGGGAUGCUGCGUUUCAAAAUCUCCAGCAGUUUCUGUUUGAAACAUAUCCACAAUUUACAAGCAGAUUAGAAGGCGCUCAGAGCGGAACGUGAAUCAAAUCUGGGGAAGACCAUUUUUCUGACGUGUAUGAUCUGUUGAUGUUCUGACACUCGAAGCAGGAACAAGUUCUUUACGGCGUUAUUAUCUUCUGACAUUAGAUCCGUGUAGAGUUUGCUGCUGUUGCGGUUGUGUGAAUACGCUGACUGUGGUGAGGUUUAUCUUCUGGUGAUGGCUUGCAAUCUGUUGUUUCAACAUUUUGUCCAGUACCUAUUCAAUGCGACUGCUAGCAUGCUUUAAAACAUUUGAUAAGGUCAUCAUUCGGUUGACUUGUGUAUGUGUGUGUGCUUGUGUUUAUUUCGGCUUGUGUUUUCUUCACUUCAUGGUCGGCGUUUCUUCUUCGAUAGAAUGUUAGGUAGCGAUUGUGAUUAUUUUUCACUCAUGGAACUUUUGACUGAAUCGAGUCGUCUUAAAUGCUCACCAUUAAUGAGGGAUAAGUAGUUGGCUUCCAUAGGCAGUAGACGACGCCUUCGGUGAGUUGGACGAUCUUGGUUUUACACAGCGUUUGUUAAGCGUGUCUAGAUCCGCAAUAACCUCGUUGGAUUUUUUUUUUCUAUUUUUUUAAUUUUUAAUUUUUAUAAUCUUAAUAGCAUGCCCCUGUUUAUUGCAGUUCUGAAUUUCUUCGUCCGCUUGAUUGCUCAUGUAUCUGCAACAAUAAGCUUUGAGGAGUGGGGGUGCCACUCAUGUGCCAGACAUCCACUCUCUUAGAUCCUUGCAUAUGACUUCAUUGCACAUAAUAUGUGCCACCUUGAAGCUGCCAAUUGCUGGGUCUUCUGCUCGAAUCCGGGUGUUUUCUGCUGAGUACACAUCUUCUCGACAGAAUUGACUCCCUUUUCUUUUGCUGCAAUUUGAUUGUUUCUAUGUGAAAGUCGAUUUGGGUUUCUGGCAACACUUUAUGGCAGCGCAGUCCAUCCAUAUUCAUCGUUGUCCGCUAAUCUUUCCUCAGGUCCAUGAAAAAACCUACACACGUAGGUGUUGGGCCACAGCGGAGUUGCAGUGUUGUCAUAUUGAUGGGACAAUUAGGUCACCCCGUGGCGUAGAGCUGUGUAAGAGAUACAUUUGGGUUAAACUGAGUAACGUGAUCUCGCGCUUCUCUACACCUGCUGCUUCUCCUUCCCCUUUCCUAACUUCACUUCGUUCUGUAAGUAAUCGUCCUGAAGCAUAGCUCUAGCUGUGUAGAAAUUCGGCAAUUCGGCAACUCGGUAAAGCAUCACCAGUUACGACGUCUCUUUAUGGGGCUACUUAUUUGAUCAUCAACCCACAUCUGUUAUCCCUGACAUGAUGUUUCAGUCAGUUUUGUCGGCAAAAGAUCACAGGACGACGUAAAUGGCAACGCGAAGGACCUCAUCAAAGAAGUGACUGCAGCUCUGGAAAAAGAGUAGGACAUUGCGAAUUGACCUGUCGAUUACAUCACGAUCUUGUGCAAGCAUCGGUUCAAGCGUAUCGCCAAGAAAGUUUGGGUUAGAAAGAGUUCAAUGCAGGCUUUUCCUAUCUCAGUGAAAUCUUCGACUGUUCUAGAGUUUGUUUCACCGGUACAAGGCCUCUCAAGUUCAAUUAGUCAGCUUCGUGAGCUACAUCUUCGCAAGCAAGGAGAUUCAGGAUUGGAAGUGGGCAAUGAGCACUCGGAAGGUGUGAGGCCCAUUGUAAUGAUACCCUCCUUUGGCAGGUGCUUCAUCAAUUUCUGUGUUUCAAUCUGCAGCUCAACUUUCAUCUGGUGUUGAAACUGAUGCGGCAGCUUCCGGUGACCAACUCAAGCUUUUCCCCUUACAUGGACUUCAGGAGAAAAAAUUGAAUCGCCGCGGUGGUUGAAUUGAUAAAAAUGAUCAAAGCAGUUUUUGCAUUUUACCCCUGAACCGAGUCGUACACUUGAACAAAACCGCCCGUAAAAAUAGGUUAAACCACCACCUCCAUCACUAAAAACCACCGCCUUCAUCGUUCUAAAGUUCGCUGAUCAUUGGUGGACAUGGAAUCUUUCUACAUUUUUAAAAGCGGUUUUGGGUUUGUACAAGCGCGGUGUCUGACAAGGUCUACGAGUUGGUUCAAGGUAUUCCUACGUUAUUGAUAGUAUUUACCAUUUUGUACUGAAGCGGAUCUUUUAGCACUUCAAGUGAUGUCCAGCUUUCAUGUCUUGGUUAGUUUUUGCUCUUCCGUUUGUCCUAUGCAUAAUUUGACGAAUGCACUUCUGGACGUAAGGUGCAUAUCAUUUAAUUUGCAGGUCCGGUUUCUUAAAUUAAUGGCACUGGGACAUGACAUGAGACCUAUUCCCAUGAUUGUCUAGGUUGCAAAAACGCGACAUGUAAUCGAGGCCGUAGAAAAAACUUCUUUUAAAGAUCUACUAAAGUCGGAACACGUUUCUGUGUCCCGGACAACACGUUUAUUUCAGGCAAGGCAAUCUGUCCGCAUUUACUUUGAAUCCUCAGCAAAUGAACCAUGCCUCAAGUAUGCCGAUUUAUCCAGCGACUCCUCGUGCACUUGCAGCGUUUGAUUCCAUGAAAUCAUCUUGCAACCUUCUGCUUGUGUAGUCCGAGGAUCACCAGUAAUCUUUUAAAUUAGUUACCAGGCAGGGUCAGCCCUGUCUAUCUUACACUUGGCUGAUAAAGGCCAAGCAAGAAAACACAUUAGUCACAAAUGCUCACUCUGGGAAAACAAGUCGAGUCAUAAGUUGUCGAAGAUAAAAUUCACGAGGCAACCGCAAUCGGAGGAUCUGAGGUAAACUGUGCUUUUCAGGUAGAGUAAGCAGCCACAAAUAAGAGGUGUUUGCCAUUUUCUUCUCUGAAAUAGCCCCAAAAUCUUGCUAUUAAAGGGUGCGUUUUAAACCAGGGAGAUCUUUUCACAUUCUUGCUUUGCUGACAGUAUUAGUGGAUUUGUUAUGUGCAUGCAGAAUUACAGUUUUUUUUAGUGUAAACCUCAAAAUACUUCAAUGUCUUGGAAGCGUCUUAACUGUAGAGAGCAGUCAUUUACUUUGAUGCACUUUGAGCAUGGGUCAGAUCUGGAAAAGUGAUAUCGUCUGACAAUGCCCAAGUUAUUUUUAGAUCAAGGUAUCCUAUUUGACGCAGAAGUUGGUGAAGCGAAGUAGGUGAAAUCGAACUUGUAAUUUCUGAGUUUCGGAAGGGCUAGUUUCUGUGCAGAUCAUAUUUUUGUGACGCGGUAUUGUUAUGUCGACAAAAAUUAGCUUACGACUGUAAAUCCAGCUUUUGAACGGAAAACAAUCUGUUCUGCAAGGUCAGAGGGUUUCUCAUCUUUGAUGCAACAUCUCGCUAAUCAAUGCAGCACCAUGAAGUUUCUGGGUUUAGAAUUUCAAGUUC